CUGUCUUCGGGGUCCCUGACGUUCCGUUCCCACGUGAUUUGCUUCCCAAUCAGCAGCUCUCAAACGCGACGCCACCUGUCUACAGUACCCACGUGGAGACGAGCCGUACCUGUAUCAUUUCUACACUUGCGCAUAGGGCUGUUAUUGCGGCACGAUGCACCUUUGUCGCCUUUGUGUUCAUGAAAGCGGAAAAUAACGGAGGGCAAAGCAGAGCAACAACACUCUGGUUCUUUCGCUUACGUUGUGAAGCACACUUGACGGACGACGUAUCCUGUGUAACUUCCGGCGCCGAACUAACGCAUCCAACUGAGUCUCAAAACGUGUGGUCGAUGCGCUUCAUGAAUUCAAGAAGCACACUGCACAGUGGAUCACACACGCCUGGCCCGCUCCUCAAAUAAUAUGGAACGAUCAGCAGCUCAGUCACCAGUCACCACGAACCAUAACACCGAGUGCCGUACAAAGACUGCAAGCGCUGGCGACAUCUCACAGUCUGCUCGACCACCUACGUCAGAGCACAAACUCGUAGAACCGCCCCUCCAUGCAUUUCCAGCUCUUCACCUGCUGAACAAGGGGUACCAGGCCAUUGCAACUAAGUACGGUUCCCCCGCGUACGGACGUGGACAAGACCUGAGAGAGGCUGAUGGUACACCCGUGAGGAAAACGGCCGCCUCGGAAGCAAAUAUCCUGAACCAAGGCAGCCCUCCCCGCAGCCAGCCCUGCCCUCCCGUGCCGGCUCUUUGCCUGGCUAACCUUUCCUUACUUUUCUUCUUAAUAAACAUAUACCUCCCCCCCCCCCCCCGUGCAAACAGAGCGACAACACCAAAAGCACCUUUAGUGUAUGCAGACCAUGCGAAAGACACCCUAUUUGCCUCUUUGUUGAGAUGUGCUAUUGUACUUGAGCCAAAGAACCUGGAGAGAUUAGUGCCUCCCCAGACAGUGGCUCAAGCGUCACCACUCUGGCAGCAAACCUCCACGUCAAACCAUGGACCUAACCGCCUUUAAGUGUAGUAUUUGUCUACUUCUGGAUCGGUAUUGAACCUUUCACUGCAAUUGUGGAAGCCACGAAAAGAACGCCUUUCCCUUGAUCUUGGGCGAAGACUGGUUUCACGCAUUGGCCGAAGGGCAUUGAGCGCUCCGCGAUUGGUUGGCAAAGUUUCGAAGUAGCAGUUUUUUCUCGGGCAGCCGGCCUAGCGGGCAGUUGCCAGCAGUGCCGCAGCGUCUCGACGAUGUCGGUUCACAGCAUCGUACGACCGUAUUGUUAUUGUGUUCAAAGAGAAGGGUGUUCGCGGAUUUGUUCGUGUGUUAGAGUGACUCUGCGCGAGUUGUGGUGUUUCCCGACACAAGUAUCAUCCUACGAACAGUCUCUCCAGUUCGGAACUGGAAAGGAGUUGUGAGCCCACGCCUGCGGAACAUGUUUGAACGGCGUCGCAUUUUCAAAUGCAGUGACAACGGAGACAGGGUUCGGUGCCGGUGCGACACAAGCAUUUCUCGUUUCGUUGUAACCGUUGAUGCACUGCAAACAGGAGCGGAUCCAGACCCUCGGUUUUGGAGAGGGGGGGGGGCAUUUCACACGCAUUCUACACACAUCAGCCACCACUUCUGGCGCCAGAACAUGUGCUCCGUGUGAGAAAGUUUGUGUCUAUAUGCAAGACGCAUUAAAGCUAUGCAAAGUGCU